AAUGAAGUGCCUGAUUAAAGGAUUAUCUUGAUAGGGUAAAUAAAGUAAUAAUUAUUACCUUCAUUA
rnacentral:tRNA from 1 species